rfam:Triticum urartu cultivar G1812 contig388758, whole genome shotgun sequence.
AUGAUACUCCCUCCGGCCGGAAAUACUUGUCAUCAAAAUGGAUGAAAAUGGAUGUAUCUAGAACUAAAAUACAUCUAGAUACACCCAUUUCAAUGACAAGUAUUUCCGGACGGAGGGAGUACUAC